AAUCUGAGAAGGCGCACAAGGUUUGUGUCCAAUACAGUCCACACCUUGCGCUACUCAGGUCUGC
rnacentral:pre_miRNA from 2 species